UGGGGAAUAUUGCACAAUGGAGGGAACUCUGAUGCAGCGACGCCGCGUGAACGAAGAAGGCUUUCGAGUCGUAAAGUUCUUUUAUAUGGGAAGAUAAUGACGGUACCAUAAGAAGAAGCCCCGGCUAACUACGUGCCAGCAGCCGCGGUAAUACGUAGGGGGCUAGCGUUGUCCGGAAUCACUGGGCGUAAAGGGUUCGCAGGCGGAAAUGCAAGUCAGGUGUAAAAGGCAGUAGCUUAACUACUGUAAGCAUUUGAAACUGCAUAUCUUGAGAAGAGUAGAGGUAAGUGGAAUUUUUAGUGUAGCGGUGAAAUGCGUAGAUAUUAAAAAGAAUACCGGUGGCGAAGGCGACUUACUCGGCUCAUUCUGACGCUGAGGAACGAAAGCGUGGGUAGCAAACAGG
rnacentral:rRNA from 1 species